CUGUGCUUUAUUUGGUAAUCAUCAGAGAGGUUUUCUCCAGCACCAGAUCAGAACAGAUGUAGCCAACCACAGCAAAACAUUACAUUGAGAUUGCAACAGAAGACAACUUGGAGGGGGGAGGCAAACCAACUAGGAAGAAAAGCACCCAUCAUGACAUCACACUAGCAAGAAUGAUGUGUUUUUCUCACAUAAGCAAAGGAAUUUGCUGCUUUGGGACCAAGAUUUCCUACUAAGAAGGUGGAUUGGCAUGUAAUACCCGUAGAUGGCAGAGAAGAGCAUCGGAUACCUUGGAGCUGGAGUUAGAGGUUGUUAGAUGUGGGUGUUGGGAACUGAGCUUGAGUCUUGUGUUAGGGCAACAAGUGUUCUUCCCUGCUUAGCCAUUUCUACAGCCAUGGAAAAUAAAUGUAUUUGUUGCUGGUG